GGGAGCAGAAGGGAGCCCCUUGUCUUGUUUUUGUUCCUUCGCAGUUGACCCACAGCUGGAGUGCGAGCUGGGCAAGUAGGUGCUGGGCAACUUCUGGGGAGACUCAGGCCUCCUUAUUGGCCAUCACAAAGCCCCAGAGAAAAAGAUGCUUCCAAAAACUGCAAGAUAAGAGGAACAGACUGCUGCCCAUGCUCCUCUGCCCUGCUGAGCACUCUGGGAGAUGGACCUGGUUGGACACUAGAGCUCCACCCUGCAGCUUUCAGGUGGGCUCAGUAGAUGGGGAUCCUGGAGGAGACUGUAGAGCAGCUGCUGGCACAGUUGUCCUGGAGCUACCUGGGCCCAGAUGCCCCAGCUCUCUCCAUGCAGACCUUUCUACCUACCUCUCCUCUCAUACUGGGCUGUCCGUGUAGACAGCUGCAUAAGAGAAAAUAAUAUAUUCACGUGUACAGCUAUUGGCAAGAAGUCUUCAGAGAUGGAGAAACCGAUGAAGAAUCUUGCUGCAAGAUCCCAACCUAUGCCAAGGGCCACUGCGAGGAGCCAGCAUGGACACAAAAUUCACACCCAGGGCAGCUCCUGUGUCUUCUGAGCCUCUCAUGAGGGCUGCAAGCACAGUGGUCUGGUACUGCCUGCCUGUAAUGUUUUCUUUUAGAAUAGAUCCUGUGUGUAGAUGACAGAGCAUUCUACAUCAUUACUACGUGGGAUGCUGAGAACCAGGUGUUUUCUUCUCUGGGCAUAAGCUCCUGAGGCUCCCGAAAGUCUCAUCCUCCUGGGCCGAGGAUGCUGAAGGGAGCCGUGGGAUGGAAGGCGGGCCCAGAAAGCACACGGGCAGGCAGAAUCUGCUCUGCCCAGCUCCAGUGUCUUUUCUUUACUGUACUCACCGUAUGUUUUCAGAAAGACAGGCCAAGAACAAAAGUGGGAGCCACCUAAAUGUCCAACCAUGAUGGUCCAUGAACACAGUGCAAUGUGCAAGAUAAUUGUGAAAAUUGUGCGGAAGUAUGGGGAACUGCUUAGGAUACACAGUUAAGUGAAUAAGGCAGCAUGUUAAGUGUUAUAUAUGCCAUGGUUACAAUUCCAAAAAUAUGUAUGUACAUAGGCAAAUUCUGGAAGAAUAAAACCAGAA
rnacentral:lncRNA from 1 species